UUACGGCCAUAUAACAAUGAAAGACAGGUUCCCUUACGUUCACCGAAGUUAAGCAACGUCGAGUCUGGUCAAUACCUAGAUGGGUGGCCACUUGGGAAUACCGGGUGCUAUA